rnacentral:rRNA from 1 species
CUACGGGUGGCAGCAGUGGGGAAUAUUGGACAAUGGGGGCAACCCUGAUCCAGCCAUGCCGCGUGUGUGAAGAAGGCCCUCGGGUUGUAAAGCACUUUCAGUGAGGAAGAACGCCUGGUGGUUAAUACCCAUCAGGAAAGACAUCACUCACAGAAGAAGCACCGGCUAACUCCGUGCCAGCAGCCGCGGUAAUACGGAGGGUGCGAGCGUUAAUCGGAAUUACUGGGCGUAAAGCGCGCGUAGGUGGCUUGAUAAGCCGGUUGUGAAAGCCCCGGGCUCAACCUGGGAACGGCAUCCGGAACUGUCAAGCUAGAGUGCAGGAGAGGAAGGUAGAAUUCCCGGUGUAGCGGUGAAAUGCGUAGAGAUCGGGAGGAAUACCAGUGGCGAAGGCGGCCUUCUGGACUGACACUGACACUGAGGUGCGAAAGCGUGGGUAGCAAACAGGAUUAGAUACCCCUGUAGUC